rnacentral:misc_RNA from 1 species
GAAAUGCGAUAAGUAAUGUGAAUUGCAGAAUUCAGUGAAUCAUCGAAUCUUUGAACGCACCUUGCGCCUCUUGGUAUUCCGAGAGGCAUGCCUGUUUGAGUGUCAUGAAAUAUCAAUCCCCAUGGGUUUUUUGGAACCUGUGGUGACUUGGACUUGGGCGUCUGCCUCACAAGGCUCGCCUUAAAUGACUUAGUGGUCGUCUUCUUGACUCAUGCCUGACGUAAUAAGUUUCGUCUCGGCCGGUCCUGAGGCCCGCUCAUAACCCCCCAUCUUUUUGACAUUGACCUCAAAUCAGGUAGGGCUACCCGCUGAACUUAA